rnacentral:rRNA from 1 species
CGAGAAAGCCCGCAAGGGUGAGUAAAGCGGCGUACGGGUGCGUAACACGUGGGUAAUCUGCCCUGGAGUCCGGAAUAACUCGCCGAAAGGCGUGCUAAUGCCGGAUGAGACCACGGGAGCCUCGGCUCCUGCGGGAAAAGGUGGCCUCUGUAUACAAGCUAUCGCUCUAGGAUGAGCCCGCGGCCCAUCAGCUCGUUGGCGGGGUAAUGGCCCACCAAGGCUACGACGGGUAGCUGGUCUGAGAGGACGAUCAGCCACACUGGAACUGAGACACGGUCCAGACUCCUACGGGAGGCAGCAGUGGGGAAUCUUGCGCAAUGGGCGAAAGCCUGACGCAGCAACGCCGCGUGUGUGAUGAAGGUCUUCGGAUCGUAAAGCACUGUCGCGAGGGACG